AGCAGCCGCGGUAAUUCCAGCUCCAAUAGCGUAUAUUAAAGUUGUUGCAGUUAAAAAGCUCGUAGUUGAAUUUCGGGAUUAGUAGUCUGGUCGUGCCAUUGGUAUGUACUGGUCUUACUGAUUUCUCCUUCUUGAAGAACCGUAAUGUCAUUAAUUUGGUGUUGCGGGGAAUUUGGACUGUUACUUUGAAAAAUUAGAGUGUUUAAAGCAGGCUAACGCUUGAAUACAUUAGCAUGGAAUAAUGAAAUAGGACGUUCGAUCCUAUUUUGUUGGUUUCUAGGAUUGACGUAAUGAUUAAUAGGGAUAGUUGGGGGCAUUAGUAUUCAAUUGUCAGAGGUGAAAUUCUUGGAUUUAUUGAAGACUAACUACUGCGAAAGCAUUUGCCAAGGAUGUUUUCAUUAAUCAAGAACGAAAGUUAGGGGGAUCGAAGACGAUCAGAUACCGUCGUAGUCUUAACCAUAAACUAUGCCGACUAGGGAUCGGAUGAUGUUAAUUUUAUAAUGACUCAUUCGGCGCUUAC
rnacentral:rRNA from 1 species